UAUGAAGGGGGCUAGCGUUGCUCGGAAUCACUGGGCGUAAAGGGUGCGUAGGCGGGUUUUAAGUCAGAGGUGAAAUCCUGGAGCUCAACUCCAGAACUGCCUUUGAUACUGAAGAUCUUGAGUUCGGGAGAGGUGAGUGGAACUGCGAGUGUAGAGGUGAAAUUCGUAGAUAUUCGCAAGAACACCAGUGGCGAAGGCGGCUCACUGGCCCGAUACUGACGCUGAGGCACGAAAGCGUGGGGAGCAAACAGG
rnacentral:rRNA from 1 species